GCGAAAGUGGCGGAAUUGGUAGACGCACCAGAUUUAGGUUCUGGCGGGUAACUCCGUGAGGGUUCGAGUCCCUCCUUUCGCA
rnacentral:tRNA from 1 species